rnacentral:lncRNA from 1 species
GUAAAUUAAAGAAGGUCAAUUUGCAUAAAAAAUUCACUAGUUUUGAGCUUUUGCAAAAGUAGGGCCAUCUUUGGAUUUUGCAGAUUUGGUCUGAAAUUUUAAAAAACUGACCAAAAUACCCUUAUUUUCUUUCUCUUCUUUUUCCUUUCUCGUUCUUUGUUUUCCUCUUCGAAGAGGCGGAGGCAGCCCGCCUCAUCUCUGCACUGCGCGCCCUCACCUGCACCCGCACACCCCCCGUCCUCCUCACCUCCAAUCCUGUCGAGCCACACUGCGACUCUCUUUUUUUUUUCUCUCCGACCCUUCUUCAUUGUCGGAGAGGAAAAGGAGAAAAAAGGUCGGAGAGAAAAAAAAAAUGGAGGGUUGCGGCGCGGCCUCGGCAAUGUCGGAGGUGAGGAGAGCGGGGGGUGAGCAAGCGCGAGUGAGGAUGUGUAGGGUAGAGGCGAGGCGAGGCAUCCCAGGGUGAGAACGAAGACACGCCCACGCUUCUCCAAUAAGCGCUUUUAGCGAGGGUAGUGGUUGCCGGUAGAGAGCGAGAAAGAGAUCGCAAUAACAAAAAAAUACAGAAAAUAAAAAAAUAAUAAAAAUAAAAAGUAAAAAAAUAUUUUUUUCUACAAGAAAAAUAAAAAAUCAAAGAGAAAAGAAGAAGAUGAUGAAGUUGCACUAUUUUAGGAGCUGUUGCACUGUUUUAACGAAACUUACACUUUUGAGAGAAAUAUUAUACUUUUUUGGAUGAAAUGUUGCACUCUUUUGAACGAAAGUUGCAGUUUUUGAGUAAAAAUUAUAUUAAUUUUCUUUCUCCUCCUUCUUCUUUCUCUUCGUUUUUGUGUAUUUUCAAAGAGUGUAGCUUUUAUUCAAUAAGUGCAACUUUUAUUCAGAAAAAUAUAAUCUUUUCUCUCAAAGAGUGUAAGUUUUCUUUAAAAUAGUGCAACGUUCUCCUGAAAAAAGUGCAACUUCAUUAUCUUCAUCUUUUAUCUCUAGUUCAUCAUUUUUUUUGGUAGAAAAAAGUAGAGGCAAUUGCUUAUAUGCUCCUGAAAAGUUUCCGACCUUCUGAUUUACCCCUCUUAGAAGAUUAAUAAUAAAAAUACCCUUUCUACGUUCCAACCUAUUUCUAAUAUAACCCUAGAGUUAAAAUCUGUUAAUGAACUCUAUUAUCUCUAUAAAAUUACUAUUUUGCCCUUUCAAAUAUACCCUUCCACCAUCACUGACUUUCUUAUUUGCCCUUAAAGUCAGCGGCACAAAAGUAUUUUGACUUUUGGUCUUUUCCAAUAUACCUCUCUACAGUCACCAACAUUUCUUAUUUACCCUUAAGUUAAGGGUAAAAUUGGCAUUUUAAUUAAUUUUUUUAACUGUGGUAGAUAUUUAACUCACGUUUAACCUAAGUUAAUUUAACAGGAGAUAACUGUAGGACUAUUUUGCAAUAACGGUGGAACAUAUGAGGGAUAUUUUAGAAAGAAAAAAAAGGUAGGGGUAAAUCGAAUAUUUUUAAACGUAUAAGGGGAAUAUAGGUAAUUAUCCCAAAAAGUAUUUUUAUUUAUGUUUUACUUUUUUAUUCUUUUUAUUUUUUUAUUUUUUGCAUUUUUUUCGCUAUCGCGAUCUUUUUUCUUACUCUACCCGCAACCACCACAUCGUCGGAAGCACUCAUU